AUUGAACGCUGGCGGAAUGCUUUACACAUGCAAGUCGAACGGUAGAGGGGGCAACCCCUCGAGAGUGGCGAACGGGUGAGUAAUAUAUCGGAACGUGCCCAGUCGGGGGGGAUAACGUAGCGAAAGUUACGCUAAUACCGCAUACGAUCUAAGGAUGAAAGCGGGGGAUCGCAGGACCUCGCGUGAUUGGAGCGGCCGAUAGCAGAUUAGGUAGUUGGUGGGGUAAAGGCUCACCAAGCCAACGAUCUGUAGCUGGUCUGAGAGGACGACCAGCCACACUGGAACUGAGACACGGUCCAGACUCCUACGGGAGGCAGCAGUGGGGAAUUUUGGACAAUGGACGCAAGUCUGAUCCAGCCAUUCCGCGUGCAGGAUGAAGGCCCUCGGGUUGUAAACUGCUUUUGUACGGAACGAAAAGGUCUCUCUUAAUACGGGGGGCUCAUGACGGUACCGUAAGAAUAAGCACCGGCUAACUACGUGCCAGCCGCCGCCGUAA
rnacentral:rRNA from 1 species